rnacentral:rRNA from 1 species
GAUGAACGCGGCGGCGUGCUUAACACAUGCAAGUCGAACGGGAUCCCGGGGGUUCGCUUCCGGGUGAGAGUGGCGAACGGGUGAGUAAUGCGUGACCGACCUGCCCCAUACACCGGAAUAGCUCCUGGAAACGGGUGGUAAUGCCGGAUGCUCCGGUGGAUGCAUGUCCUUCCGGGAAAGAUUCUAUCGGUAUGGGAUGGGGUCGCGUCCUAUCAGCUUGAUGGCGGGGUAACGGCCCACCAUGGCUUCGACGGGUAGCCGGCCUGAGAGGGCGACCGGCCACAUUGGGACUGAGAUACGGCCCAGACUCCUACGGGAGGCAGCAGUGGGGAAUAUUGCACAAUGGGCGCAAGCCUGAUGCAGCGACGCCGCGUGCGGGAUGGAGGCCUUCGGGUUGUAAACCGCUUUUGAUCGGGAGCAAGCCCUUCGGG